UGGGGAAUUUUGGACAAUGGGCGAAAGCCUGAUCCAGCAAUGCCGCGUGUGUGAAGAAGGCCUUCGGGUUGUAAAGCACUUUUGUCCGGAAAGAAAUCCUUGGCUCUAAUACAGUCGGGGGAUGACGGUACCGGAAGAAUAAGCACCGGCUAACUACGUGCCAGCAGCCGCGGUAAUACGUAGGGUGCAAGCGUUAAUCGGAAUUACUGGGCGUAAAGCGUGCGCAGGCGGUUUGCUAAGACCGAUGUGAAAUUCCCCGGGCUCAACCUGGGAACUGCAUUGGUGACUGGCAGGCUAGAGUAUGGCAGAGGGGGGUAGAAUUCCACGUGUAGCAGUGAAAUGCGUAGAGAUGUGAGGAAUACCGAUGGCGAAGGCAGCCCCCUGGGCCAAUACUGACGCUCAUGCACGAAAGCGUGGGGAGCAAACAGGAUUAGAUACCCUGGUAGUCCACGCCCUAAAACGAUGUCAACUAGUUGUUGGGGAUUCAUUUCCUUAGUAACGUAGCUAACGCGUGAAGUUGACCGCCUGGGGAGUACGGUCGCAAGAUUAAAACUCAAAUGAAUUGACGGGGUCAUAGCUGUUUCCU
rnacentral:rRNA from 1 species